rnacentral:ncRNA from 12 species
GAUAUUUGAAGUAGAGAUUGUGCUGCUACACACCUAUUAAUAGGUCAAAAGAAAUGCAGGAAAGGGCACACCUGCCAAAUAUC